rnacentral:rRNA from 1 species
GAUGAACGCUGGCGGCGUGCCUAAUACAUGCAAGUCGAGCGAACGGACGCUAAGCUUGCUUCUCUGAUGUUAGCGGCGGACGGGUGAGUAACACGUGUAUAAUCUCCCUAUAAGUCUGGGAUAAUCUCGGGAAACCGGCGAUAAUACCGGAUAAUAUUUUGAACCGCAUGGUUCAAAAGUGAAUGACGGCCUUGCUGUCACUUAUAGAUGGAUCCGGGCUGCUUUAGCUAGUUGGUACGGUAACGGCUUACCAGGGCAACGAUGCACAGCCGACCGGUGAGGAGGAUCGGCGGCACUGGAACGGAGACACGAUCCUUAGGCCUACGGGAGGGAGCAGAAGGGUAUGGGCGGCAAUGGUCGGGAGCCUUACACAACAGCGCCGCGUGAGAUAUGGAAACCUUCGGUGCGUAAAGCUCGGUUAUGAGUGGAGAACAUAUUUGGCAGGAGCUGAGCACAGAGUGACGGUACCGGGUAAAGAAGCAACGGCUAACUACGUG